rnacentral:rRNA from 1 species
ACUAAGCUUCAGCUUAAGAAAAACCGUACCGCAAACCGACACUGUAGGCAGGGUGAGAAUCCCAAGGCGCUUGAGAGAACUCGGGUGAAGGAACUAGGCAAAAUGGCACCGUAACUUCGGGAGAAGGUGCGCCCUUUGGUGUGGUCACGUGCGUGACUGAGCAUUGAAGGGUCGCAGUAACCUGGCCGCUGCGACUGUUUAUCAAAAACACAGCACUCUGCAAACACGAAAGUGGGCGUAUAGGGUGUGACGCCUGCCCGGUGCUGGAAGGUUAAUUGAUGGGGUCAGCCGCAAGGCGAAGCUCUUGAUCGAAGCCCCAGUAAACGGCGGCCGUAACAAUAACGGUCCUAAGGUAGCGAAAUUCCUUGUCGGGUAAGUUCCGACCUGCACGAAUGGCGUAACGACAGCGGCGCUGUCUCCACCCGAGACUCAGUGAAAUUGAAAUCGCUGUGAAGAUGCAGCGUUCCCGCGGCAAGACGGAAAGACCCCGUGAACCUUUACUAUAGCUUUACACUGAACGUUGAGUUCUUCUGUGUAGGAUAGGUGGGAGGCUAUGAAACCAGGACGCUAGUUCUGGUGGAGCCAUCCUUGAAAUACCACCCUGAAGUGCUUGACGUUCUAACCUAGGCCCGUAAUCCGGGUCAGGGACCGUGUAUGGUGGGUAGUUUGACUGGGGCGGUCUCCUCCCAAAGAGUAACGGAGGAGCACGAAGGUACGCUCAGCGCGGUCGGACAUCGCGCACUGUGUGCAAAGGCAUAAGCGUGCUUGACUGCGAGAUCGACGGAUCAAGCAGGUACGAAAGUAGGUCUUAGUGAUCCGGUGGUUCUGUAUGGAAGGGCCAUCGCUCAACGGAUAAAAGGUACUCCGGGGAUAACAGGCUGAUACCGCCCAAGAGUUCAUAUCGACGGCGGUGUUUGGCACCUCGAUGUCGGCUCAUCACAUCCUGGGGCUGUAGCCGGUCCCAAGGGUAUGGCUGUUCGCCAUUUAAAGUGGUACGCGAGCUGGGUUCAGAACGUCGUGAGACAGUUCGGUCCCUAUCUGUCGUGGGCGUUGGAGAUUUGAGGGGGGCUGCUCCUAGUACGAGAGGACCGGAGUAGACGUUCCGCUGGUGUUCGGGUUGUCAUGCCCAUGGCAUUGCCCGGUAGCUACGAACGGAAGUGAUAACCGCUGAAAGCAUCUAAGCGGGAAGCACGCCCCAAGAUGAGAUCUCCCGAGAGCUUGACUCUCCUAAAGGCACCAUCAAGACUAGGUGGUUGAUAGGUCAGGUGUGGAAGCGCAGCAAUGCGUUGAGCUAACUGAUACUAAUGAGCCGUGAGGCUUGACC